rnacentral:lncRNA from 1 species
AUAUAAGCGGUGAGAGCAGACUUCCUUGUCUUAUUUUUGAUCCUAAGGAGACAGAGUAAGAUAGCUGAAUAGAAGCUUCCAGUGAUCAUCCUCCCCACAGGAACACCAAAUUUUAACAACUAUUUACAUAAGAAAAGCACCUUUAUAGGAACCAAAAAUCAGGUAAGCAAUCACAGUACCUGGUUUUAACUUCGAAAUUAUAGUCUUGAAUCACCAAUGCCACCCCUCCCUCAUCCCCUUGCAGUGCCCUUGGUACAGAGAAUCUGUGUGGUUGGGGGAGGGAGAGUGCAGCAACUGUGGGACUUUGAACUCAGCAAAACUG